CCUACGGGAGGCAGCAGUGGGGAAUAUUGGACAAUGGGCGAAAGCCUGAUCCAGCAAUUCCGCGUGUGUGAAGAAAGCCUUCGGGUUGUAAAGCACUUUAGUGGGGGAAGAAACAGCUUGGCCACACCAAGCCUUGACGGUACCCCAAGAAUAAGCACCGGCUAACUCUGUGCCAGCAGCCGCGGUAAUACAGAGGGUGCAAGCGUUAAUCGGAUUUACUGGGCGUAAAGGGUGCGUAGGUGGCUAUUUAAGUCGGAUGUGAAAGCCCGGGGCUCAACCUCGGAAUUGCAUUCGAUACUGAGUGGCUAGAGUUCGGUAGAGGGCGGCGGAAUUUCCGGUGUAGCGGUGAAAUGCGUAGAUAUCGGAAGGAACAUCAAUGGCGAAGGCAGCCGCCUGGGCCUGGACUGACACUGAGGCACGAAAGCGUGGGUAGCAAACAGGAUUAGAUACCCUGGUAGUCCACGCCGUAAACGAUGAGAACUUGACGUUGGUUCGUUUUACGAAUCGGUGUCGCAGCUAACGCGAUAAGUUCUCCGCCUGGGGAGUCGGCCGCAAGGUUGAAACUCAAAUGAAUUGACGG
rnacentral:rRNA from 1 species